GAAGCAGACCACAGACACAGGAAGGAAAGAAGGUGAGAAGCUUCCAGAACAGAGCAGAAGACUUUUCAUCCUCUCAUUUCAAACUGCUGACUGCUCCUUUCUUCUUUUUCACCUUUUCACUUCAUAUUGAGACCAGAAUUCAACUCAUUUUGACCUGAAAACACUUCAGUCCUUCAAAGCAGAAGUGAGUGCACGUUCAGGUCACGGCGACUGUUGUUGAGAAGCAGACCACAGACACAGGAAGUCCCGCCCUGGUUCCCCUCUCAGCCCUCCUUCCUCCAGCGCUCUGCAGGACACCUGAUUUCUCUGAAGGGGGAGAAAACAUUUCCUCAUGAAGGAAAGAAGGAGAGAAGCUUCCAGAACAGAGCAGAAGACUUUUCAUCCUCUCAUUUCAAACUGCUGACUGCUCCUUUCUUCUUUUUCACCUUUUCACUUCAUAUUGAGACCAGAAUUCAACUCAUUUUGACCUGAAAACACUUCAGUCCUUCAAAGAAGUGAGUGCACGUUCAGGUCACGGCGACUGUUGUUGAGAAGCAGACCACAGACACAGGAAGUCACGUCCUGGUUCCCCUCUCAGCCCUCCUUCCUCCAGCGCUCUGCAGGACACCUGAUUUCUCUGAAGGGGGAGAAAACAUUUCCUCAUGAGGGAAAGAAG